rnacentral:rRNA from 1 species
UACGUAGGGGGGCAAGCGUUUGUCCGGAAUCAUUGGGCGUAAAGAGCGUGUAGGCGGCUCGAUAAGUCUGCUGUGAAAGUCAGGGCUCAACCCUGGAAGGCCGGUGGAAACUGUCGGGCUAGAGUCCGGGAAGAGGCGAGUGGAAUUCCCGGUGUAGCGGUGAAAUGCGCAGAUAUCGGGAGGAACACCAAUGGCGAAGGCAGCUCGCUGGGACGGUACUGACGCUGAGACGCGAAAGCGUGGGGAGCAAACAGG